GGAGCUAAAGAAGUAUGUAAGGAGCGUAGUAGGUGGCGCUCUGUAGUUUCUGUAUACCAUCAGAUGUAUGAAUGUGAUGGAAGCUAAAGAAGUAUGUAAGGAGCGCAGUAGGUGGCGCUCUGUAGUUUCUGUAUACCAUCAGAUGUAUGAAUGUGAUGGAAGCUAAAGAAGUAUGUAAGGAGCGUAGUAGGUGGCGCUCUGUAGUUUCUGUAUACCAUCAGAUGUAUGAAUGUGAUGGAAGCUAAAGAAGUAUGUAAGGAGCGCAGUAGGUGGCGCUCUGUAGUUUCUGUAUACCAUCAGAUGUAUGAAUGUGAUGGAAGCUAAAGAAGUAUGUAAGGAGCGUAGUAGGUGGCGCUCUGUAGUUUCUGUAUACCAUCAGAUGUAUGAAUGUGAUGGAAGCUAAAGAAGUAUGUAAGGAGCGUAGUAGGUGGCGCUCUGUAGUUUCUGUAUACCAUCAGAUGUAUGAAUGUGGUGGAAGCUAAAGAAGUAUGUAAGGAGCGCAGUAGGUGGCGCUCUGUAGUUUCUGUAUACCAUCAGAUGUAUGAAUGUGAUGGAAGCUAAAGAAGUAUGUAAGGAGCGUAGUAGGUGGCGCUCUGUAGU